UAACACAUGCAAGUCAGGGGCGAGCACAAGGAGCAAUCUGAGGUGGCGACCGGCGGCACGGGUGAGUAACACGUAUGCAACCUGCCUGUAAGCGGGGAAGUAACCCGUUGAAAGACGGACUAAUACCGCAUAAUACUAAAUUACUGCAUGGUAAUUUAUUUAAACAUUUAUGGCUUACAGAUGGGCAUGCGCAUGAUUAGCUAGUUGGAGAGGUAACGGCUCCCCAAGGCAACGAUCAUUAGGGGUUCUGAGAGGAAGGUCCCCCCACACUGGUACUGAGACACGGACCAGACUCCUACGGGAGGCAGCAGUGAGGAAUAUUGGUCAAUGGACGAGAGUCUGAACCAGCCAAGUCGCGUGCAGGAAGAAUGUCCUAUGGAUUGUAAACUGCUUUUGCAGGGGAAUAAAGUGCAUCACGUGUGAUGUUUUGUAUGUACUCUGCGAAUAAGGAUCGGCUAACUCCGUGCCAGCCGCCGC
rnacentral:rRNA from 1 species